UGGGGAAUAUUGCACAAUGGAGGGAACUCUGAUGCAGCGACGCCGCGUGAGUGAUGAAGGAUUUCGUUUCGUAAAACUCUGUUCUAUGGGAAGAAAAGGACUGUACCAUAGGAGAAAGCUCCGGCUAAAUACGUGCCAGCAGCCGCGGUAAUACGUAUGGAGCGAGCGUUGUCCGGAAUUAUUGGGCGUAAAGGGUGCGCAGGCGGCUUUACAAGUUGGAUGUGAAAUAUUGUGGCUCAACCACAAACGUGCAUCCAAAACUGCAAAGCUUGAGUUAAGGAGAGGUAAGUGGAAUUCCUGGUGUAGCGGUGGAAUGCGUAGAUAUCAGGAGGAAUACCGAUGGCGACAGCGACUUACUGGACUUAAACUGUCGCUCAGGCACGAAAGCGUGGGGAGCAAACAGG
rnacentral:rRNA from 1 species